UCUGCCAUAUUUUUAUGUUUUUAUUUUGGAAAAUUUUAUUAUUUAUAUAAUUCGAUUUUUUUUUAAUUUUUGUUCGGUUUUGUUUUUGAUUUAUUUGUUUUUAAAUUUAAUUAUUGAUUUGUUACCAAUAAUUUAGUGUUUCUUGUUAUAAUAUUUCUAGGUUUGUUUCCAGCUAUUUUUUUCUAAAUUAAUAUUAUUAUUUUUUUCAAAAAUUAUUUCUCCUAAAUUUUGUGUUUAUUUGUUUUUUAUUAAUUUGUUUCAACUAAUU
rnacentral:lncRNA from 1 species